UAGGAAGAACAAUUCUGUAGGAUUGGGUACUUUUCUCCUUCCUUAGAGCACAAACCCUAAGCCCCCAAAAUUAUCCCAAAAGCCUUUUCACUUGAAUGCCAUAAUUUUCCUUUAUGAGUGGGUAUGUCAAAUGGGUCUUGAUGUGGAUUUUCAUUGGAAGUGGAAGAUGAAAUCUACUACAUCUUAUUCUUGAGUUACUAUUCAUACGAAACAACCAAUGAGCUUCCGCCACCUAGCCUUCUUUUCUUACUUUUUUCUUUUCUUUCCUGGAACGUGGGAGACGACAUCGUUUGGCUCUCCAUCACUGUUUCUCUCCGUCUCCAAGCAAGCCCAGCUUGAUGUGCGUGUUGCCUCUGCCUUUCUGCCCACUUUGUUGUACCUUCAUCACCUUUUGUCAGCGUGCGUGCGUUCGUUGGCCUCAUCUAUUGCGUCAUCGCUGCUGGUCGUUUCCGGAAAAGGUGGGAAAUAAGCUUCACACGUUUCCAGUGGCUAUUGUGAAAGAGAUUGAUGUUGCCCGCUUCCAGCUGGAGUUGCUUUUCACCAGUACAUUGCUCAUCUAGAUUAGAUGUCAUCCAUUCUUAUGAGGACACAGGCCAUGCUUUUCCUUUUCCUUCUCAUCCAAUUUUGCGGAUUGGUCAAAUACUUCGCCCUCAAAGCUUGCUUUUCCAGAUUUUCCGCAAUCUUUCACCAUCUCCACUCUCCAUGCUUUGUUCGUACGAGUAGGUGCUGUCAAGUCUUUGGUGAUGUCAAGUUUGGAGCUGAAUUUGAAAUUCAAAUUGCAAAGUGUUCAUUCUUGCCUCAGAGGUGGAAGAGCCAUAGCAACCAGCUUUGGACCCCUUCACUGUCACGCCACCUGCUAUGGAACAGGAAUUGAAUCAUUCUCAAAGCUCGGAGAUUCUAUCUAUUUCGAACAGGAAGGGAAAGAUCCUGCUCUUUACAUCAUUCAGUACAUAUCAAGCUCAUGUAAUUGGAAAUCUGGGGGCAUCUUGCUCAAUCAGACAGUGGUUCCAGCUUCUUCAUGGGAUCCUUAUCUUUAUGUGACAUUUACGUUUUCUCCUCAUGAGAAAACUGGUACUUUAUCUGCAUUGAAUUUUCGACUACCAUCUUGGACUCUUACAGAUGGUGCCGAGGGGAUAUUAAAUGGUGAAACUUUAUCUCUGCCAACUCCAGCUGAUCUUGGUGGAUGGACAUGUGUUAUUGUGGAGAAAUCUUUUGAGUAUGGAGUUGAUAACUAUGACCUUGGAGGAUCUAAGCUCUUUGAAAGAUAAUAAAGUUGUUAACAUGGGAAAUGAUUGUGUUUUCUGCUAUAUUUUCCCUGGUCAAUAAACAUAUUUGAAGCAUGUCUUAGAUGCCAUUGAGGAUGUUUUAUACCCCUUUGAAACAUAUGAUGUGAAAACAAUUAGAGCAAGCAUACCCAUAUUUCUAAUGUUUAUGAAGAUUAAAUCACUUUAUGCCAAGUGGGUAAUCUCUGGAGAAGGAUCUGAUGAGAUGUUUGGUCGGUAUCCGUACUUCCACAAGUCACCUAACAAGGAAGAGUUUCACACAGAAGUAUGUCACAAGGUCAUGGACUUAACAUGUUCUUUACUGAAAUUUCGUGCAACACAUUUAGGCAGAAAGAAAAAUUCAAUGAUUUUAUACUUUUGAAGGUUACUUUGGUAGCGAAUGUAUACUUUGGUCAUGACACAUGUUUUUUCAAUAAAAGGAAUUGUAUAAAAUUUUUGGGUGGAACUUAGAAGUAUGUAGAGAACUGCAAUGAUAUCUAUUUCUUAUUUUUAAUGCAAAAUUGGUUUAUUCAAAAGGAACACAUUCACAGCAAUAGUGAAACCAAAUUUCCUCUUUGGUUGUUACAGCUUUUAUGUUGUUUCUUUACCACCAAAUUGUUGUGUCCCACCGUUUUAAUAAAAUAAUAAAAGAUGUUUCACACAUUCCGUAUGUUCGUAUGGUUCUAUACUUAGCAUUCUACUCAAAAAAGUUUUUUCACACACCCAUAUGUUCGUAUGUUAGUAAGAACUUUAUCUUUAAGGAAGUUUUCUAAAAUAUUUACAUCAUCAAUUAGUUUGUAUGAUUUCCUAACUUUUUUUCGAUAAGGUGGGUACUAAUUCAAUUAACCAGCAUUUGAGCAACAUAUUAUAUACUUUAUUCAUACCUUUUUGUACGAAUUAUUUAUUUAUCUUUUAUAUGUAAAAUUGCGUUGGAAAUCACAGCCAAAAGCUCCAUACUAACCGUAAAAGGCGAACCAAACCUAAUAUUGCACAAUUAUCCAAUUAAUAUUUAUAAGUAAGAUGAAAGGGAAGAUAAUAAUAACACUGAAAAUUGUAUGUUUUAGUAAAUAUAUCAUUCUAUUGCUCCAUAUAUAUCAAAUACUCAAUGAUUAUAAAUAACAAUUGAUUCUUAAACACAUAGAGGUUAAACAUAGCGGCGGUUGCAAUCAAUGCUAAACCAACAAAUUGACAGACGCUAAACGAGCGAAUUUUUGUAGUGGCGCUUAUGAUGUGUUUCACAAUGUAGUAGCUCCAUAUAUAUCCAAAAACCAUCUCCUACCGGUCAUCCCUAAUUGGCCCAAUAACUUUUAUUUCAUGUUAUAGUUUUUUGUGACUUUACUUGACAUGUACAUCCAAUAUUGUGCAUAACAACAAUCAUAUAGAGGGUGUAGCUAUUACAAACUUGAAAACUAUAUAUCCAAGUAAUCUCCACUCAGUUCAAAAAAAAAAAGUAAUCUCCACACCGAAAGUGAGAUGUAUAAACAUCUAUAGAAAAUAAUUACAAUCAAUAACUACGUCAUUGCAGUAUUCCAUAUAUAUCAAUACUCAUCUAAACUCAAUCAUAAUAAUUAGUAGUUAAUUCAAACGAAAAUUCCCCGUGCAUCGCACGGGUAAACGGGCUAAAAACUAGUUGGUUAGAAGGGAAGGAAUCAGAAGCUGCUGCGUGAAGGGAGAAGAAAUUCUCAUGGAAGAGAAAAGACAGAGCACGGUUUUUUUUCUGAAACAAUUGGGAAUGGGUAUUGUGCAACGUGGGUUUGAGAGUGAGUAGGUUUAGUAAAUCUGAAUCUGUUUUUAUUUUUAUUUUUGUUAUAUAUAUAUAUAUAUAUAUAUAUUUUUUAAAACUUCAGAGGUGGGUAACGUGGUUACUGUUUCUCUCCAUUUUACUUUUCUUUCCUUGCCUUAUCAUUUAUAUAUAAUAAUGAUGAUAAUAAUCAUAGUAACUAUAAUAAUUAAUACCAUAACUCAAUUAAACGAGUCGUUUCACCAGCAUGGACUUCAAGUUCUCUUCUCUUCUGGACAAAUUGGAACUCCUUUUAGUUCAGGAAAAACCAACCCCGCGUAAUCCCCCACCAGGCUAUGUUGGCAGCCCCCUCCUAGUUUUUACCCAUAUUCCUUUUCUCCAUUAUCCAAAACCCUAAAACUUCAACUCAACUCCUUUGAUGGUUCUAGUUCUCUUGAUUGAGUAUUUCCAGCAGGGCGGUUUCAAGGCCCGGCAAGCCUGGGCACUUGCCCGGGCUGCCUUUCAAAAAGAACAAAAACUAAUUUGGGCCGCAGGCCCUUUUUGAACUGAUUUGGGUAAAAAAAGAGAUUGUCUCCGACGAAGGCCACCGAAUUCGAGUCACUUCCUCACUCACUCUUGAUUCCAUUCCAUUCUCUCACCUUUGCAUUUCGAGGAUCUUCUGCUUGUGGUUGUCGUUGCCGGAUCAUUCGAUUCGGUAAUUUUUUUUCUUUCGUGUUCAAAUGCGUCCAAACCUGAAUUCACUUCAUUCGUAUUUUGAGACCAAUUUCUAGGGUUUAACUCAUUUAUCUUGUGAUUGUGCUUUGAAUGCUCUAAUUCCAGAUCAGCCCGAAAAACCAUGUUGUUCUUGAGCCUUUAUAUAUCAAUUGCAUCAUGUAUUGGUUUUUUUUUUUAUAGGAAAAUGUUCGUUGUUAGAAAUGUUAGUAAAUUAGUCGUCCUCAGGGUUCGAACCCUGACCCAUCACUCUUCAUCCCACCAACCCUUAUGUCCCGAGCUCUUACCACUUGAGUUAUCAUUCGGGGACAACAUCAUUUAUUGGUUAACUAUAAGAAUUUUCAUUCCAGUAAGUUAGAAAGAGGGUAGAUUUGGCGUUUGGUACUUGUUUUUGGGGAAGAAAACGACCAUGUCAGUGCCUGGUGUUUUCAAUUGUGAUCUUUUCAUAAAUUUGGAAGGCAGUAGCAAUUCAAUGGUAAAAAAAUCCUCUGCUGCACUGCAUAUGUUAAUAAAUUAUCUGUCAGAUUUGUAGUGAUUAAUCUUCCUCCUUGUCAUAAAUAAUUUGAUAUUACCUCUAUCAUUUGUCACUUUUCUCAUUUUCUUGUUGAAGUUGUGCACCUUGAAUGGUUUUCAUUCAGUCAGAUGACCAAAAUGAAAGGUUUUGUUUGGGUACUUUGGGUUUAUCAUGUGGAAAUUCUUGUUGGUUGCUUAUAGUUGUAGCAAUUGGGUAGUGAGAAAUAGUUAUAUAGCAACUCGACCCUUUUCUUGUAUGAGGUCAAAGCUGAGGAUCAAUCCCCACCUUUACUCCAGCAAGGGACUAAAGCCAUAUUUAUGGCAAAGAUUUGGGACUAAAAACUGGAUUAAGCCAAUACUCAAUUAGCUGGCUAAAGGUCCAACCUAACUUAUCAGAUAUUUUCCGUGAACAGACAUGAAACCGAACUGAAUAGAGCCAGACAUUAUCCUUCAUGUGUCCGGUGAAUGCAAACCUAGUAAUUAAAUGCUGAUGGCAACUGGGACCAACUUCAUUUUCGAGAUUGGAGGUCUGAUCAGAUGGUCCAACACUAGAAAUUGAAAUCACUAAUUUUUUAAAAUCAUAUAUGACCAGGUACAGAGUUGGUUCUGCUUGUGACUGAAUGACUUCUUUGUAAUCAAUCUUACUGUUAAUGCUAAUGAUUCACAUGUAAGUUAAGUGCGGUAAUAGAUUUUAAAAUUUAAGAUAACCUUGACAUAUAAAAAAAUGCAUCCAUCUCUUUUAUGUGAGAGUGAGAUAAGAAGCAAAUUAAUCAUGAUCACACGUGUAUAUAUGAAUGAUAACAAUACAAGAAAAAUGUCCAAUAGUUUCCGCUAGCCAAUUUAGCGGCGGUUUAGCGUUGAUGUUGGAACUGCUGUUAAACAACUCAAAACUAACAUGUAACGUUGGCCAUGUGUUGAAGCUAGGAAUGAUUUGGGAUUUGUUAAAGUUGUCGUGUUAUGAAGAAGUGGUCACGACUUGGUGGAUUUAGAGGGCAAGGAAUAAUUGUUGUAUGGAGAAUUUAGCUACGCGGGAGAAAGAGACAAUGGUGUGCGUCAUGUCUUUGAAACAUGGAUUAGAAGAUGUAGGCUAAUCGAGUAGUUAGUGCAAAUGGAGUAGAUUGGUAAAAUGGCUAGGGCUUGACCAGAGACGGAUUCAACUACAACACUGAGGGCAUUUGCCCUCACUUAGUUUUGAAAAGAAUCAUUAGAAAAAAAAAAUUGAGUAGUAAAAGUAUGUGAUUUUUUAUGGUUUUUUUUGUAAAAAAAUGCUCUUACUUGUAUUCCACAUUGAUAAAUGUCCUCAUUUAUAUUCCAUAUUGCAAAAUGCUCUCACUUGAGUAGUAAAGUAUGUGGUUUAUUAUGAUUUCUUUAGUAAAAAAUGUCUCACUUGUGUACCUUUUUUUGGUAAAAGAUGCACUUACUUCUAAUAGUAUCUAUUAAAAAAAAUUAUACAAAUUUAUAGGUAUAUAUUGCCCUCACGACAUCAAAUUUCUGGAUUCGUCACUGCGCUUGACACUAGGUAUAUUGCUCCUAAUGUUGAUGGUAUUGUGACUAUUGAUCCAGUGACUCAAUGAGGUUUGAGUUUGGAGGGUGCUUCCUAAAUAGAGAGGGGGAGUGGCUUGGGAGUUGGGACCUUCCAUGAUUUUUUGGUGCCUCAGACAUCUUGCAUAUGGAGCUAUUUUCCAUGUGCUUGUUCUUGUCUAGAAUAAGGGGUACUAACAGUACCUAUGUGGUUUCUAUGAUUCGUUACAUGCCGCCUCUCUUGUGAAAAAUGUUUCUAAUAGUUGCCAUAAAUAUGACUCAGUUAUUUGGAAUAUUAAGGACCUGAUAGCAAGACAAUGAAAUGUCACUGUUUCUCCUAUCCUUCGGGAAGGAAAUAGUUGUGCUGAUUUCUUAGCCAAGCUUGAAGUGCAAAAGGGUGAGGGGUUUGUCUUUCUUCACGAUCCUCCUAGUGAGCUAGAUGGAAGUCUUGAGACAGGGAUUUUGCUCAGAGUUAGUGUUUCUACGUAGUUUUUGUUUUUAUUUUGUUUCGGGGCUUGGGCGUAGCCCUGCUCUUGAAAAAGAAAAAAACCAGUCGUUACUUUUCCCCCUUUGAAGGUGUAAAAUAAUUUAUUUGAACACGAGCUCAUUUCUACCAGCCCAAAUUAGUUGAUCAAGUGAACAUUCAUCAACAAACAACUUAUUAUCAACUUCUUCUACUUUUGCAUCUGAUAACUUGUUGAGAAAAUCAAGUGUGAGUUUGAAAUCUCAAAUGGAUCAAAGUGAGAGGGUUAAAGGGUAUAUAAGUGAUAAGAUCCCAAUUCCUUAAGAUUUUGGAUAAAGAUGUGAUGUCAGUUUCUUAAUGGUCUUCUUUAUUAGCCCAGUGUGGUGUGUAGAGAGAUCUCUCAUGCAGCCAUACCCCUUCGUGACGCAACAAGCCCAACUAAGUAGGUACGGGCAUAAAUUAAGUUACUACUCUUGCAGUUGUGGGUCAUUGAGGGUUAGCUCAAGUGGUAAGAGUCACGAAACAUAAGGGUUGGGUGGGCUGAAGGAUGAAGGGUCCAGGGUUCGAACCCUGAGGAGAGACUAAUUUACUAACAUUACUAACAACAAACAUUUGCCUAUAAAAAAAAAUACUCUUGUGUGGGGGGUCGUCUUUCUUUUAUGCUGGUUAGACAUAUUGCAUGAGAUGACGACUUCUUAAUUCUUAUGGUCAUAGAUAGAGAAAUAAAUAGUGACUGUUAAAUUUAAGUAUUCAAGAUUAAAAUACAUGGUCAAUACUUUAUAUACCCUGUUCAUGCCAACUUGAAGCCAACACGUACUCAACCUUUAUAAUACUCCCUCCGUUCCUGAUCUUUUGUUGUUUAAGGUUAUGCACAUUGUUUAAGAGUGCAAUUAUUGAUAUAUUUGCUGACAUAAACACCCCUAUUUAAUGUUGAGUUAGAGUGAAGAGAGAGAAUGAUAGUUAUUGGUUAAAAAAUUUGUUAUUGUUUUGAUUGGUGAAAAUAAGUGGUGGUAGGUGAGAAAUAUAAUAUUAAAUGAGGGUAAACAUGGAAUAAAUUGAGAAAAAAUGCAUUGGAUUUGUAAAACAACAAAAGUUUUGGAAUUUAGGCCAAAAGUUAAAACAACAAAAGAUUAGAAACGGAGGGGGUAUGCAACAACCGAAAUAACUCAUGCACAUGCUCCUCUGUCAUAAAGAUUGCUAUAUAUGCCACCUUCUCCACAUAAUCUCAACUACUUAGCUCCACUACACUAAAUGAAUAUAGACCAAAGUCACACAAUACAGUUGAUACGAGAGUGAUUGAUUGGUUAAGUAAACAGAAAAAUCGGAUACCAAACUUAAACAGAUCAAUGGUUUUAAGCAUUUUGUUAA